AGCUCCAAUAGCGUAUAUUAAAGUUGUUGCAGUUAAAAAGCUCGUAGUUGAACUUCUUGGCAUUCUUUAAGCAGGCUUCGGUCGUUUAAAGAGUGUCAAUCCGCUAGGGAACUACAUUCGCACUUCACUGUGCGGUGUAAGGAACUGGCAUUUUACUUAGAAAAAAUUAGAGUGUUCAAGGCAGGCUAUCGCCCUGAAUACACAAGCUUGGAAUAAUUAAAUAGGACUAUUUCCAUUUUAUUGGUUAUUGGAUUUAGUAAUGAUUAAUAGGGACAGUUGGGGGCAUUUGUAUUUAAUAGUCAGAGGUGAAAUUCUUGGAUUUAUUAAAGACAAACUUAUGCGAAAGCAUUUGCCAAGGAUGUUUUCA
rnacentral:rRNA from 1 species